ACAACACUAUCGGUUGAACAUGUUAAAAUUCAAUAACAGCUCAGAACUUUAGGGAUUGUGAUAUUUCUAAUUUAUUGGUAAUAGUUUCGAAAAGUUCAUUUGCUUAAGUUUAUAAAAUUAAGUUUAGUGCUCUUGCACAAAUAUUCUUUUUAAUAAACCUCCGUCUUUGAAAUCAUCACUCCAAUCGCUUUGUAUCUGCAGACCAUCUUUAUCAUUUUCCACUGCCGAUGUCAAACAAUCAGACCGUCCUCCAGACCAAUCAAUAAUCCCAAAAGCUCCAUUUGAGUGGCAUAAACAAAAUUGCCCACAGAUCCGAAGAAGCCAGCAUGUCAAGUAGCAGCGAUGAUGCUUAGGUGCUGGAAAAUGGCAGACAGCAAGUGAAACUGCACACGAAACUGGGAACUGGGAUCUGGAAACUGUUUUUCCAUGGCGAUAUGCAGGGCGCCCCGGACCGAAAUCAACUUGCUACUUAUGCGUCGUCAUUGCAUAAACAAGGCACUCGACGGCAGCAGGUUUACCGGUCUGGUUUUCCCUGAGUUUUUUUCCCACUCACUGAGAAAUUGCAACAUUACGUGCCCCAGGAGCCACGUCCACUUCUCAUGCAAAGCAUGCACAAUUCUCCAGAGCUCUGGACUAAAGAUAAAUUGAUAGUAUUUUGGGGCUGACUCUGGUACCCCGACAUUUUCCUAGGUGCCUUAUUUUUUUCUCUUUUUUGGUUAGGCAAUACGCAAAUGGUGAAACUGUCCAUUAACAGAAAAGAAAUAAAAGUUAAACAAGAACAAACAGGGAAACAAUAAGGUGGACGGGCUGCAGAAAAAAAGUUGAAAUCCUUUAUUGUCCAUUGUCGGCCAUGGAGUUCUCUAUCAGAAUGCCUUAAUUAAGAACGCUCGGAGUCUGGCCAAAGAGUCAGACUUCAUUUCGAUUUUUAACAGCGCAGCUGUUACCAAAAACCCAACGAUUCCAUUCGCCUGAAAAACUCAACCCAACCAACCAGCCCCACUUCGUCCUGUCAGGGAAAAAAUGGAAACCAACAAUUUGCAGUUUACAUUUAACAGCAGAUCGAGGGGCGGUGGGGCAUGGGACACGUUAUUGGAAAAGCAGUGAAAAUUGGUUUGUUUGACGGCCCGAUGUCUGGCGGAAUAACAUAGCCCGCACCUAUACACAUACACACUCAAGCACACACAUAGCGAACGUAUAUUUUAUAUCGCAUAUAGUUACCGUCAUUGUCGAAAACUCUCGGAUAGCAGAAGAAAUUACAUCGAUAGCGGAAAAACUUUACGAUCAAGAAAAAAUAAAAGUAAAAUGAUGAGCGCCCAACCACCGAUAGACAGUCAAUCAGGACCCUUAUAUUGAGUUGCAUUUUUUGUGUCUCUUCAUAAAUUAACCGUGCUAGAGGAUUCCAAUCAUGUCGCUGCCACUGAAAGUAUUAACAAAAAAUAUGACAUAUUUUUAAUGAAUACAUAACGAAUAUAUUAAACAAGAAAACUACAACAUGUUUUCUUGUUAAUAUUUAUAAAAUGGAAUUCUUUUUCCAAAUUAUUUGCAGUAGGAGCGAUUUUAGUUAGCAACCUUAAAAUUUUACAUUGAUAGGUUUAAAGUAAAAUAAGUUUAGGUAGGAAAUGUGGCGCUACAAUAAUGCAUAUACAUAGGUGCUUUACAAAAUAUUAGUUUCUCCCUUCCCUUCCUCGCCUAAUCUCCCAAAAAAAAAGUGCUCAUGUACAACAUUUGCGAACAUUUUGAAUCGAUGAAGCAUUCAUGUGCAGCCUCUGCACAUAUGGAGGAAAUCGUUUUUCGCAGCAAAUAUUUACAAGAAAUACGAAUUUUAAUUUAUGCAACAAUCGACGAGACGAAUCGUCUAAAUGGAGUUCAUCGGGGGUCCAGGGGGCCAAACAAAUCGAUCCAUCAACUGCAGUUGCAGCUGCCCAUGCAAGAUUGCUGGCGAAAACAAAAGGUAGUUGACACAACCCACUCAAACUCGCCAGUUGCCCCAUAAAUUCUCGGGAGCCCAGCAAACCAUUUAUGUUUAUAUUUGGCACAUUGCACACUUGUCAUCCGCUGCUCCGAAAUUCCCACACGC
rnacentral:misc_RNA from 1 species